GGCACAGAGUAGAAUAUUGAUUACGUUUUAAGGGAGGCAGGGGUUUUAGGCAGGAUUUGAUGCAUGAUGUGUGUGUAGAUAUUAAUGUUAGGAGACAAUGUGAGAGUGUACAUUUUAGUAGGAAAACGUAUUAUCUGACCCACACUCCGGAACAGAAGAGGGCGCUAUUGCACCAAUAAGCUGGAUGCCAACCGCCGUUAAACUGGAAAGAAGACGAAUAUGACAGCUUGCUGUGAGAGACAACGGGACAGAUGAGACACAUGUGUGUUUAUCUGCUGCAGAGACACUGAUGAAGGAAUGCUGCCAUCAAAGGAUUUGUGGCAUGAAAAUGUCUGUAGACUGGUGUGUGCACUGAGGAUGGAGAAGACCACAGCAUCCUCCUGGAAAUGAUCGAGAGUCACAGAUGAGACGCUCCAUCACUCCAGCUCUUACUGUCUCAUCAGGACCAGAUGCUGCUGUGGUCUCUUCCUAAUAGGUGGCCCCAGAGCAGCGAGAGCAUCAAGAGAAAGACCACAAGACACUGAGGAUGUGAUUUUGGUAAAGUUUGUUCAGCUGGUUAAUGUUUAAACAAUGAAGGCUGACUUUCAGAAGCUUCAAAAGCAUCAUCACAAAAUGUGAUGGAGCUUUUAUCUGAAGUGAUUGACAGUGCUCUUAUUACAGGGGCCUACAAUCCCCUUAUCAACCUGGAGAAGAGAGCCUUGCUGAAGGACACACUGGUGUUCCUGUGGCUCAAGUGGUAGAGCAUUGCGUUUGCAGUGCAAGUUUGUGGGUUCGAAUACCAGGGAACACAUGUUAGGUAGUUGUGCUCAUGGGGUGCAGGCACAUGAAAGUUUGGAGCAGACACAGCAGUCAGAUUGUCCUGCACGUGUUCUCCUGCUCUCGCUUCAAGGUUGUGUGGUUCAGAGAGCCAUCAUCAAGGUCUUCUUCAUCCUGUUGCUCAAAGACAUCCCCGUUGAGAAGAGUGAGACUGUGAAACACAGCAGCAGAACUGUAUCAGCUGUGUUCAGAUGGCAGGAGGAUGUUGGGUUCACCAUCUGUAAAUACAUGAUUGUUAGAACAAUAAGUUUGAAUGAAGCUUUGUAUCAUGUGUUGUUGACUUGUACAUGUAUGCAUUUAUUGUGAUGCUAACUUUUAUACAUUAUUUUAAUCAUUUAGACAUGUUUUUUGUUGUCAGUAAAUAACAUAUAAAUAUUUUAUCCAUUCAUGUAUUAAUUGCUUGACUGAAAAUGGAUGUAUUCACAUCGACUGCAUUUA